rnacentral:rRNA from 1 species
UUAAAUUGAAGAGUUUGAUCAUGGCUCAGAUUGAACGCUGGCGGCAGGCCUAACACAUGCAAGUCGAGCGGUAACAGGA